GAACACGAAGUGAAAGCAGUACUGGAAUACCAAAACUAUACAAAUAACUGUUCCGUUGUUAGGUAUGACGAAUGGCAAUACGGCUCUGAGACACAAAAGAACUACUUCGAGAAGAUGUGUGGAGAACGCAAAUUGAUGGG